UACGGAGGGUGCGAACGUUAAUCGGAAUCACUGGGCGUAAAGCGCGCGUAGGCGGUUCGUUAAGUGGGAUGUGAAAUCCCCGGGCUUAACCUGGGAAUGGCAUUUGGGACUGCAAGGCUGGAGUUUGGCAGAGGAGACUGGAAUUCCUGGUGUAGCGGUGAAAUGCGCAGAUAUCAGGAGGAACACCGGUGGCGAAGGCGGGUCUCUGGGCCAAUACUGACGCUGAGGAGCGAAAGCGUGGGGAGCGAACAGG
rnacentral:rRNA from 1 species